rnacentral:rRNA from 1 species
GAUGAACGCUGACAGAAUGCUUAACACAUGCCAGUCGAAGGGGAAGUGGUGCUUGCACCGUGGCGACCGUGGCGGACGGGUGAGUAAAGCGUAAGGGUCUCACCUGCAGGACUGGGAUAACAGGGGAAAACUCCUGACAUGACCGGAUAAUGUCAUGGAGCUGCAUGGGUUUGUGAUGAAAGGAUACGCCUGCGGAGAGCCUUGCGUCCUAUUAGCAAGUUGGUGGGGUGAUGGCUCACCAAGGCGAAGAUAGGUAGGCGGCCAGAGGGGGUGGACGGCCACUAGGAGACUGAGAUACGGCACACACUCAUGCGGGAGGCAGCAGUGGGGAAUAUUGGAAUAUGGGGGCACCUGUGAUCGAGCCAUCCUGUGUGGAAGAAGAACGUUCGCGGAUUGUAAAGUGCUUGCAGCAGAGAAGGAGUAAGUGACGGUACCUGCAGAAGAAGCAACGGCUAACUACGUG